rnacentral:rRNA from 1 species
AUUGAACGCUGGCGGCAGGCCUAACACAUGCAAGUCGAGCGGAUGAAGGGAGCUUGCUCCUGGAUUCAGCGGCGGACGGGUGAGUAAUGCCUAGGAAUCUGCCUGGUAGUGGGGGAUAACGUCCGGAAACGGGCGCUAAUACCGCAUACGUCCUGAGGGAGAAAGUGGGGGAUCUUCGGACCUCACGCUAUCAGAUGAGCCUAGGUCGGAUUAGCUAGUUGGUGGGGUAAAGGCCUACCAAGGCGACGAUCCGUAACUGGUCUGAGAGGAUGAUCAGUCACACUGGAACUGAGACACGGUCCAGACUCCUACGGGAGGCAGCAGUGGGGGAUAUUGGACAAAGGGCGAAAGCCUGAUCCAGCCAUGCCGCGUGUGUGAAGAAGGUCUUCGGAUUGUAAAGCACUUUAAGUUGGGAGGAAGGGCAGUAAGUUAAUACCUUGCUGUUUUGACGUUACCAACAGAAUAAGCACCGGCUAACUUCGUG